AUGAACGCUAGCUACAGGCUUAACACAUGCAAGUCGAGGGGCAGCAUUUUAGUUUGCUUGCAAACUAAAGAUGGCGACCGGCGCACGGGUGAGUAACACGUAUCCAACCUGCCGAUAACUCGGGGAUAGCCUUUCGAAAGAAAGAUUAAUAUCCGAUAGUAUAUUAAAACCGCAUGGUUUUACUAUUAAAGAAUUUCGGUUAUCGAUGGGGAUGCGUUCCAUUAGUUUGUUGGCGGGGUAACGGCCCACCAAGACUACGAUGGAUAGGGGUUCUGAGAGGAAGGUCCCCCACAUUGGAACUGAGACACGGUCCAAACUCCUACGGGAGGCAGCAGUGAGGAAUAUUGGUCAAUGGACGAGAGUCUGAACCAGCCAAGUAGCGUGAAGGAUGACUGCCCUAUGGGUUGUAAACUUCUUUUAUAUGGGAAUAAAGUAUUCCACGUGUGGGAUUUUGUAUGUACCAUAUGAAUAAGGAUCGGCUAACUCCGUGCCAGCAGCCGCGGUAAUACGGAGGAUCCGAGCGUUAUCCGGAUUUAUUGGGUUUAAAGGGAGCGUAGGUGGAUUGUUAAGUCAGUUGUGAAAGUUUGCGGCUCAACCGUAAAAUUGCAGUUGAAACUGGCAGUCUUGAGUACAGUAGAGGUGGGCGGAAUUCGUGGUGUAGCGGUGAAAUGCUUAGAUAUCACGAAGAACUCCGAUUGCGAAGGCAGCUCACUAGACUGCAACUGACACUGAUGCUCGAAAGUGUGGGUAUCAAACAGGAUUAGAUACCCUGGUAGUCCACACAGUAAACGAUGAAUACUCGCUGUUUGCGAUAUACAGUAAGCGGCCAAGCGAAAGCAUUAAGUAUUCCACCUGGGGAGUACGCCGGCAACGGUGAAACUCAAAGGAAUUGACGGGGGCCCGCACAAGCGGAGGAACAUGUGGUUUAAUUCGAUGAUACGCGAGGAACCUUACCCGGGCUUAAAUUGCAACAGAAUAUAUUGGAAACAGUAUAGCCGUAAGGCUGUUGUGAAGGUGCUGCAUGGUUGUCGUCAGCUCGUGCCGUGAGGUGUCGGCUUAAGUGCCAUAACGAGCGCAACCCUUAUCUUUAGUUACUAACAGGUGAUGCUGAGGACUCUAGAGAGACUGCCGUCGUAAGAUGUGAGGAAGGUGGGGAUGACGUCAAAUCAGCACGGCCCUUACGUCCGGGGCUACACACGUGUUACAAUGGGGGGUACAGAAGGCAGCUACCUGGCGACAGGAUGCUAAUCCCAAAAACCUCUCUCAGUUCGGAUCGAAGUCUGCAACCCGACUUCGUGAAGCUGGAUUCGCUAGUAAUCGCGCAUCAGCCAUGGCGCGGUGAAUACGUUCCCGGGCCUUGUACACACCGCCCGUCAAGCCAUGAAAGCCGGGGGUACCUGAAGUACGUAACCGCAAGGAGCGUCCUAGGGUAAAACUGGUAAUUGGGGCU
rnacentral:rRNA from 1 species